UACGACCAUAUCACAUUGAAACACUGGUUCUCAUCCGAUCACUGAGGUUAAGCAACAUUAAUCCUGGUCAGUGCCUAGAUGGUUGACCACUUGGGAAUACCAGGUCCUGUAA